ensembl:lncRNA
UCCUCGGGGACUCGCGCCGAUGUUUUAACGCUUUAUUAUUUGUGCCUGAACGCGCGAGAGAAGAGAAUUAUUAGAGAAUAUGACAGAUCGAUAACGCGACUGCAACGGAUGGCUCUCCACGCACGGCUCCGUGGAAGCGAUCCCUGCCCGGAGUGAAAAAAGAAAAAAAGAGUUUUCUUUGAGGAGGGGAGAUUUCCAACAGGAGACCUCAACUUCGAGUUGGCACAACUUUUUUUACGCGAUGCGUAAAGAAAAAAAAGGACACAUGACAGAAAGACGUCGCGCACUGGCUCGACUGCAACUACAGGCUGCCUGUGCGCGGUGCUUUGGAUAUAUUAUGCUUCUAUAGGGGGGUGGAAGAGACUGAAUAAUGCAAUUAUAGAUUCAGUGUCCCAGCCUUGACAAAAGACAGGGCUUCAAUGGAGGCUUUGUUAAAGGAUUAUAUAAUGAUUAUGGGGUAAUUAUGGGAACGGUUUGGUAAUAAUAAAAAAGUAUCAAGUGCUCUCUUGUACGGACAGCUUGUUUUCUACAAUGUAAGAGCACGAUAAGACGGACGGACAGACAGACAGGCAGGCGGUGCUGCUGACAGCUAGUGGCGGGAUGACGGCAGACAGCCUCGAUUAUUCAAAAUGUCGAACCGAGAGAGGCAUUAAUGUCAGCGCCUGAGAUGCUAUCAGAUGUCCGCGGAACCGGACGUGGGCCCACAGCGGGGUAUCUGGGGGUCAUAUUCAGAAGAGCCCCCCUCCCAGCUCCCAGCCACUGCUCUCGUGAUCUUCUCCCCUCUGCGUGCUGCUUGUGUCACGCCGAGGAACAUGGAAGCGCAAAGAAAAGACACGCAAAGGCAAAAACCAGACGUCCACAGUGGGGUCGGCAGUCUGACAAUCAGCACUUUCAGCUCUAAAAGCCAUCCGGUGUUCAUGGAUGCUCGAAACCACACGCAGGACAAUCCACCCACGACGCUGUCAAAGCAAAGCAAGCCCCAAAACAAGAAUCUGCAAAAGGUGGAUGUUUUUACGUUAAUCGUAUUUUCACUGUAACCAGGUUUUGCUCAGGGCCUGGUGUGUCCCUCUGAUGGUUUUAACCAUUUACAAACCUUUAUAAACUUUAAACACCAAGUCUUUUAUUUGAAACCAACCCGGGACACACAAACGUGAUGAAUUUAACAGUAAAUUUAAAAAAGAAAGUUUCACUCCCUUUAUCUUAUUUGAAUUUAUUCAAGGUGUGAGUUUGAUGAUGCUAAAUAAUAAAAAUAAAAAGCCUCUG